rnacentral:tRNA from 1 species
GGCCCGGUAGUUCAGUUGGUUAGAAUGCCAGCCUGUCACGCUGGAGGUCGAGGGUUCGAACCCCUUCCGGGUCGCCA